CUGUAAGCUAGGUUGGUGUCCCAGGCUGACAGAGAGCCGCGUGAUUGGCACUGUCAGGCUGUCAGACCAGGGAUGGCCAAGCUCGUGGCGUGCUGCUCUCAGACUUUAAAAAGUUAGUUAUUGCAGUCAUGGGUGAAAAUGAACUGAGAGAAAAUCAUUUCAUCUGGAAGCUUGGACCAAGGGGGGGGGGAAUGAAGGAAUGACCUGAAAAUGUAGAUUAAUUGGUUCGUUUUGGUGCUACAUGAAGCUAUGAGAAACAAACGUCAAAGUUCAGAACAAAGUUUCAGAUGAGCUUGAGCAUUCCCUUUUGUUACUUUCAAAUCUCCUUAGCAGAAAGACUCAAAUUCUACGCAGAAUCAGAUACAGUAUGGCAUAACAAGCAACAAUGGCCCCUAAGCUUCCUACACAUUCUGUGCAAGCCUUCCAGUAUCUUAGUGUACUGUCUAUACGCUGAAGAACACGUUAGAACACUUUUUGAUGCUUACUUGAAACUAUUUUGCAUUAACAUGAUAUUUUAAGGAAGAAAUUUUUUUUCAUUUGGAAAUUAUGACAGUAAAAUCAAGAGCAUGGUACUGAAACACUUGUAUCACCUAGCACUUAAAUGUAUCAUCAUUGAUAGCUGAAGGAAAUCACAAUUUUUUGGAGAAGUUAGGACACAGAAUGCUCUUGAGGUGAUACGGUGCAUAAUUCUGAUUCGGGUAUUUACUCAUGAAACACACAGAGUACUAAAAUAUGAGAGGUGGCAUACUGAUUUUCCUGCUUUCAUUCUUCCCUUCUGUUUAGCACAUUGCUCCUGAUUUACAGUUCUUGGAGCAUCCCUAUUUCUUACUAAAAUCAACGACUUCUAAUGAGUUUUCCAGAACCAUCAUAACAUUACCCUGGGCCUUAUGUGCUUCCUGUGAAAUGUAAAGAACAGUGGUACUGAAGUCUCUGCAUGGCUUGACAUUUCACUCUUAGGGAUUCUUUUCCUUGACUCCUUAGGUCUUCAGCCUUCAAGAAUCCUAAAGUAGUAUGCAGCCAACAGUUUAAUGGCCCUGCACUAUAGGGCAGAAUCUAGCUGCCUGCAGGGCGAGUAAGAGGGAGUACAGGAACUGCCUAAAGAGCAGGCAUUGGAAGAGAUGGUGAAAUCCUACGACAGAGGCUGCCUUCAGUAUCCUACAGAGCCUUUAGGGGUCCCGCACUGUCCACUGGGGCUCAGCUUCAAUUCUGUCAUCUCCAUGUGCUGUAGCUGGUGCUUGUCCUUGCCUCUUAUGCAUUCCUGUUCUUUCUGUCCAGUACCUUCAGGACUUUGAAAAUCCAGCUUAGCCAGAAACUCACGACUCCAUCAUUGCACCACUUCUCAUCAUACCCCUCCCGCAGUUCUCUGAUACACCACAGAAUAUCUAUAGCAUUUAUUUCUUGAAUGGAAUGUACAGUGCAUAAUGGGACUAACCCUGAAGGGGAUGUUUGGCUUACCAGCCAGACUGUAUACCUAGGAGAUGAAAGAACAUUUCUCAGUGUUUUUCUUGUACCCCUAUUCUCACACUUUGUUUACAGAGUUGAUCCCGGCAAGGGAUAAUAAACCUUCUUGAGGUAAAUUUCCUAUCUAUUGAUAUUAUUAUGUUCUUCAGAAAAGGCACUCAGACUGAUAAAAUAUUUGCCUCAUGUUAUUUUCUCUAAGACCUUUUAUCUGUUAUUUAGCUUUGCUCUUAUUUAAGUACAUUUUUAGACAACAACAAAGAAUUCUUGAGAAAAGCAAUAAGGAACCAUAGUUUAUAUUUCAAUACAGAACACCCAGGGUCAAAUAAUGGAGGAAAUUCUAGCAACUAACAUUAUAAGAGAGUAUAGCAAUUAUCAAUCCUCUAACCGAACAAGUAAAUGUUUUCUUCUAGAUAGUCAUUUUUCAUGCAACUUUUGAGAAUGCAGAAAUAAGAGAGGGAAAUCUCCAUGAAACUGGGUGGUAAUGCCUUGACACAUAGAGGAUUUUACUUGUUUUGUCACCUUUGAAUUUUUUUAAAUGUUCAUGGUGUUUCAUUUACUCAAUAAUGAAUGUUCAUAUGAGAAGAGUCUAGAUGUUGACUUUUUUCUUCCCAAACAAGUACAGAUUUGAAGACCAACUGCAAGUCAACAUUUCGAAACUUCUACAUAAAGAAUACUGUUUACAUCAUUGAUUCUUACAUGCUAGAGGAAACAAUAAAUUUGUGUGAGAUGUGGAUAAUUCCAAACAGUGCAAUAAAGUAGAAACAAUAGGGGCUAUGUUAUUAGACUAAAGUUUGAAAUGUGUUUCCCUUUUUUCCUAGCUGUGUCUCAGACAAGACAGGUAAUAUCCCUAGCCAUCACAUUCCUCAUCUGUGAAAUAGCAGUCAUAAUAACUACUUUCCCAAGUUGAUGUCAGGAUCACACAAAAUAAAGUAAGUGCUCAGAAUACCUAUUAGAAUAACUAUUGUAAAAGGGAAAGCAUAAGUCAACUUAUUUAUAUUGCGGAUCAUUAUACUAGUUAUAGUAUCUAUCUUUAUGCUUAUGUAGUUGUAUUUUAAAAUUGGCACAAAUCAUGCUUGUACAGAAUGCAUACUCUGGUUAAAUUAGACAAUUUUAAGGGGAAACCGUGUGCCGAAUUAAAUUGUUUUAGUCAUUUUUAAUUUUUCUAAACCUUAACACAGGCCUCAACAUGGCAAAGCAAAAUUUACUAUUGGGUAGUCUAGGCAUUUUGAUUCCAGCUAAGGUAUUGUUUCUUUGAUAUAAUCUAUGUAAUCAAAAAUUUGAUUUUGUGCCUCAAAAUUUUAAUAAUUCAAACUCUGAUCAAAGAUUGAUAGAGUUGUAGGCAUAUAAGAAUUUCAUCCCUUAUUAAGACAGUAUUGAGCUUGGAGGCAUAAGUUAAGUAGAAUUUCAGAUAAAUGAACACAGCAGCAUUUAAUAUUUCAAUAGAAUUACCUGAAAUAAGAAACUCUACAUGAAAAAGCUUGGAAAAUUCUUCAUAUGAUAGCCUCUCUACUUCUUCCACCUCCAACCAGGUCACAAAUGAAUGUAAAAAAACUUGAGAAGUAUUCAAAAUUUAUUUUUUAAAAAACAUGGUAUAAUUUUGUUCAAUCCAAUAGUUCUAAAAUUUAUCUUAACAGAGAAUCUUUUGGGAUCCUUUAAUACGAGAAUAAACUCUUCAAAAUCUUUCAAAGAUUUAUUUACAAAUCAUAUCAGUGAACUAUAAGAAGUAAUUAGUCUGAUUUAGAUUAAGUCUUUGAUAUAUUUCUUGUAAGCCUUUGUGAGAUAUUCACAUAUCUCAGCUUCUUCAGUUUACCACAGAAUCCUAAAUUUCUCUCCUGCACUGUGAAAUCGUGUGGCUAGUUUGUUUUCUUUUCAGAGGCUCAAUUCUCUGGUGUUUCUGAGCAACAGGUAAGAAUGCUCAUCUAUUCUUCAUCAACACUGGAGGGAAACAAGAUUAUGUAACAGAAUAAACUUCAUUUGUUUGGUUUCAUGAAUUUGUGAAAUAACUCAAAGGAAGUUUUAAAUCCUCUUUACUGGACACAGUUACACAUGGGAAAGCCAAAAUGUUUGAAAUUCUUCUGUGAAUGUACUGAAUUACCCUUGAUGCUCAUUUGGACCAAUCCUUUCUCUUUUUUCUCAGUCUGCCCUAAAAUGCUGCUUUAAAAGAUCUCUGACAUUUUGGAUCAUAAAAGCUUUUAGAGACAUAUACAUUGUCAGGAAGCUGGACCAGAAACAGAGCAGCUGGGACUUACACUGGUGCUCAUACGGAAUGCCAGCAUCUCAGGAAAAGGAAAAAUAACAAAAAGCCAAAGUAUGGAAGCCCUUUCAAAUGUGAUAAUGCUUCAAGGUGCAUUUGUUUUCCAUUCUUUCACAAAGAUUAAAGUAAGAGAGCAACCAUUUAGCCUAGCAGUUAAGAUGCCUUCGUGACAUAUCAGAGUUCCUGAACUUGAUUCCCAGCUUUAGCGACUUAUGCCAGCUUCCUGUUAUUCUGUAACCCGUGGAGCAGCAAGUAGUUGUGUGUCUCCAAGAUCCUUGGGAGGCUUGGAUUGAGUACCCAGCUUCUGGCACUGGCCCUGGCCCAGCCCUUGCCAC